CGGAGGAUCCAAGCGUUAUCCGGAAUCAUUGGGUUUAAAGGGUCCGUAGGCGGUUUAGUAAGUCAGUGGUGAAAGCCCAUCGCUCAACGGUGGAACGGCCAUUGAUACUGCUAGACUUGAAUUACUAGGAAGUAACUAGAAUAUGUAGUGUAGCGGUGAAAUGCUUAGAGAUUACAUGGAAUACCAAUUGCGAAGGCAGGUUACUACUAGUUUAUUGACGCUGAUGGACGAAAGCGUGGGUAGCGAACAGGAUUAGAUACCCUGGUAGUCCACGCCGUAAACGAUGGAUACUAGCUGUUGGGGGCAACUUCAGUGGCUAAGCGAAAGUGAUAAGUAUCCCACCUGGGGAGUACGGGCGCAAGCCUG
rnacentral:rRNA from 1 species